rnacentral:rRNA from 1 species
AGCGAACGCUGGCGGCAGGCCUAACACAUGCAAGUCGAGCGCCCCGCAAGGGGAGCGGCAGACGGGAGAGUAACACGUGGGAACGUGCCCUUCAGUUCGGAACAACCCAGGGAAACUUGGGCUAAUACCGGAUACGUCCGUAAGGAGAAAGAUUUAUCGCUGAAGGAUCGGCCCGCGUCUGAUUAGCUAGUUGGAGGGGUAACGGCUCACCAAGGCGACGAUCAGUAGCUGGUCUGAGAGGAUGAUCAGCCUCACUGGGACUGAGACACGGCCCAGACUCCUACGGGAGGCAGCAGUGGGGAAUAUUGGACAAUGGGCGCAAGCCUGAUCCAGCCAUGCCGCGUGGGUGAUGAAGGCCCUAGGGUUGUAAAGCCCUUUCGGCGGGGAAGAUAAUGACGGUACCCGCAGAAGAAGCCCCGGCUAACUUCGUGCCAGCCGCCGCCGUAACAC